rnacentral:rRNA from 1 species
GACAGAGGAGCCAAGCGUUGUCCGGAUUGACUGGGCGUAAAGCGCACGCAGGCGGAGCGGCGCGUGGGGUGUGAAAGCUGGUGGCUUAACUGCCAGUCGCCAUCCCAUACGGCCGCUCUGGAGCCUUGCAGAGGGCAGUGGAAUUGCCGGUGUAGUGGUGAAAUGCGUAGAUAUUGGAAAGACCACCAAUGGCGAAGGCACUCUACUGGGCCAUUACUGACACUGAGAGACGAAAGCUAGGGGAGCAAAUGGG